GUUUAGGUAAAGAACAACGGGACAGUUGGGUUUAGGUAAAGAAUAACGGGACGGUUGGGUUUAGGAGAAGAAGAACGGGACAGUUGGGUUUAGGACAAGAAGAACGGGACAGUUGGGUUUAGGAGAAGAAGAACGGGACAGUUGGGUUUAGGUAGAGAAGAACGGGACAGACCAAGGUAGAGAAGAAG